AAAAUAAUUUUGAAUUAGAUGAGUAACUUUUUAACUAUUUUUAGAGAGCUAAUGGUUGCUGAAAAUUAGCAGUAGAAAAAGUGAAAUGGGCUAAUGUUUCGUGAGAGGAACCAAUAACUCUCAGGUUUUGUGCACCUUAUCGUACAACUUCUUGUUAGAGAAGAUGAGAUAAUAUCUAGUAUGAUAUUAAUUUGAGGUGGCACCGCGUCAUUGAGUAAUAACGCCCUCACG
rnacentral:ncRNA from 1 species